GGUCUUAUAUAUUAUAUAAUUAAAUUAUUAAACUGCAAGUUUAAAGAAGAAAAAGUCUAAGACUU
rnacentral:tRNA from 2 species